rnacentral:rRNA from 1 species
CCAAUAGCGUAUAUUAAAGUUGUUGCAGUUAAAAAGCUCGUAGUUGAAUUUCGGGAUUGACGUGAUGGUCAUGCCUUAAGGGGUAUGAACUGUUACUGUUGAUUUCUCACCUUCUGGAGAAACUUGAUGUCCUUUAUUGGGUGUCUUGCGGAUCCAGGACCUUUACCUUGAAAAAAUUAGAGUGUUUAAAGCAGGCAUUUUUGCUCGAAUACAUUAGCAUGGAAUAAUAGAAUAGGACGGCAUGGUUCUAUUUUGUUGGUUUCUAGGAUCAACGUAAUGAUUAAUAGGGAUAGUUGGGGGCAUUAGUAUUCAAUUGUCAGAGGUGAAAUUCUUGGAUUUAUUGAAGACUAACUACUGCGAAAGCAUUUGCCAAGGAUGUUUUCAUUAAUCAAGAACGAAAGUUAGGGGAUCGAAGACGAUCAGAUACCGUCGUAGUCUUAACCAUAAACUAUGCCGACUAGGAAUCAGACGAUGUUAAUUUUUUAAUGACUCGUUUGGCACCUUACG